UACGUAGGGUGCAAGCGUUGUCCGGAAUUAUUGGGCGUAAAGAGCUCGUAGGCGGUCUGUCGCGUCGGCUGUGAAAACCUGGGGCUCAACUCCGGGCCUGCAGCCGAUACGGGCAGACUAGAAUUCGGUAGGGGAGACUGGAAUUCCUGGUGUAGCGGUGAAAUGCGCAGAUAUCAGGAGGAACACCGGUGGCGAAAGCGGCGCACUGGACCACAACUGACGCUGAGGCGCGAAAGCUAGGGGAGCAAACAGG
rnacentral:rRNA from 1 species